AUUUACAUUCCAUAUAGUUAAUCUAAAAC
rfam:Clostridium difficile 630 complete genome